UUUGGGAUUUCGAAACCCUAACCCUAACUCCGGAUUGCGUCGACGGAGAGGAUGCCGGUGGAAGCGGUAAUGAAAAUGGUUAGCUUAGUGUCUGUGCCGGAGAGUGGUACGUUGGUUAAUUUGAUGAAAUUGGGACUACCGAGUUCUGGAUUCCCUACCGAAUGUGAGCUUGGAUUAACAAAAUUAUAGGGCGAGCGAGUUGCUUGGCUCUGGAAAUGUCUCCGGCAUUACAGCAGCACAUCUAAAAUAGGUAACUGGAGUUCCUCCAAGAGAAGACUUGCUCUCACUAAAGCAGCAAUUGGUCUAUAUUGCUUUGAAACCUUCAUAUUCCAGGUGAGGGCCAAAGAAGUACAUCAUUGCUCCCAACCUACAUACCUCUUUUGCCAGUGAUCCAAAAUUUUGGAGCGACGAUCUCCCUGGUGAGAUGCACUAUAGUAAGUAAUGUUGUUAAUCAAAUCUUAAUGAUAUACCAUAUCAAGCUUUUAUACUUUUUUGUUACUUAUUCGAACCAGCUAACAAUGAUGAAGAUUCAGAAUCCAGUUAACAAUGUUGGAAUACCAUGUGGGGAAAGGACCCCCCCACUCCAUUGUGAUCCAUUGUCGACCUAGGAAAUGAUUUGAAUGUUCUGAGGAGUAGAAGCUAACACUCUCAAUGAUUUACAAUGCUUUUUCCUCACAAUGUCACACUACACAACAAGCAUUCCCACACCUUUAGUUCUGCCUUUUCUAUAAAGCAAAUCAUAUAUACGUACAUAUAUAUUUAUACCCUUUGGAUUGAAGACUUGGAAACUCACUCUUGCUUGGUCCACUCUGCCCUACCAUUGAUGUCCUCCUUUUUGCUGAUCGUUCAUUACCUUCACUGGAAGUCCAAUAGACAGGGUGAAUUUUCCCACGUGAGCUCUCUUUCACCUUUAUAUACUACAGGAGACCAAUCACCAGUUUCUCUAAUAAUAUUAGAGCUUUUACAUUACAUCAUUGUUCUUUUCUGGUAAUUUGGGAAGUCCAUUCAUGGUCACCUGUUGGAUAUUUUCUGUUGCGAAUGUUGCUAAUUACUGCUGCUGGAAUUCUUUUACUUCCUUUAGAUUGUUGGUACAAGAAGAACCCACACCUUCUUUUCCUUGUCCUAUCCAUUACCAAACGAGGUCCAAUUGGAGCAGACUUUCCAUCCCCACAAGUGCUUCUCAGAAACCUGUUGCUCAACUAAGCAAUAUAAGGUGACAUAUACUAGUAAAACAAACACACUAAUCGCUUCAAAUUCCUGCUAUUCUCUCAUAUUGAAUCGCAGCAAUUAAAUUUGUGUUUGGAGGUGUAGAGGUGAAUCUCUCCGUGGCCAAACCUUAUAGACUUGGAAUAUCCCGAGUUUGAUUUCCACUGUGAACAAUAUCUUUGUAGCCUCACACUGAGUUUGAACCCAACUUACCCUGACGUUGAUGGACAACUUCUAUGCUCACGGACCUGAUAGUUUGAGAUUAAACUCAUGCCGGAUGUCCAAACGGAAAACUUGUAUAGUAUCGAUCUCGGUUAAAAAAAAGUGUGGGAAGUGGAUUUGGUUCUCUUAUGUAUUCAAUGACAGUGAAACAGGGUUGGUUUUAGAACCAUUAGGCUAUGAUAUCUUCUUGUCAUAAAGACCUUGCUUUUGCUCUGUGGUCCCUCUGUCACAUGGUUCAUUAUGGUGUAUGAUACCCAUAUUUUAGCUUUGAGAAAGGUAGAUGAUGAAAUAAAAAGGACUCUGCUCA